rnacentral:rRNA from 1 species
UGGGGCGGUUCGCCGCCCCCGACNUCACGAGAAGUCCAUUGAACCUUAUCAUUUAGAGGAAGGAGAAGUCGUAACAAGGUUUCCGUAGGUGAACCUGCGGAAGGAUCAUU